GACGUUUAGCUUGCAGAAGAAGCACCGGCUAACUCCGUGCCAGCAGCCGCGGUAAUACGGAGGGUGCGAGCGUUAAUCGGAAUUACUGGGCGUAAAGCGCAUGCAGGUGGUUUGUUAAGUCAGAUGUGAAAGCCCGGGGCUCAACCUCGGAAUUUGCAUUUUGAAACUGGCAAACUAGAGUACUGUAGAGGGGGGUAGAAUUUCAGGUGUAGCGGUGAAAUGCGUAGAGAUCUGAAGGAAUACCGGUGGCGAAGGCGGCCCCCUGGACAGAUACUGACACUCAGAUGCGAAAGCGUGGGGAGCAAACAGGAUUAGAUACCCUCGUAG
rnacentral:rRNA from 1 species